rnacentral:rRNA from 1 species
ACAGCAGUCGCCACGGUAAUACGUAGGGUGCAAGCGUUAAUCGGAAUUACUGGGCGUAAAGCGUGCGCAGGCGGUUAUAUAAGACAGAUGUGAAAUCCCCGGGCUCAACCUGGGAACUGCAUUUGUGACUGUAUAGCUAGAGUACGGCAGAGGGGGAUGGAAUUCCGCGUGUAGCAGUGAAAUGCGUAGAUAUGCGGAGGAACACCGAUGGCGAAGGCAAUCCCCUGGGCCUGUACUGACGCUCAUGCACGAAAGCGUGGGGAGCAAACAGGAUUAGAUACCCGCGUAGUCCCUGUCUCUUAUAC